AACUGUUUGGCUGCCCCCAAACCUAUGCACAAGCCUAAAGUUGUUCAACAAUGGAGACCCAAAGUGGUAAAUGACAAUGUUAUGCAGCCUCCCAAGCAGCAAACCAUACCAGAGCAGAUGGUGUUCCCUUCUGUAAUAGCUGAUCCUGUAGAAAAUACUGAUAUGUUCAUACAGGUGGAUAAAGGCAAACAGGUCCAUACUCCAGCUUUCAAUCUUACAAACUUCCCCCCUUUAUCCCCUGUGGUGUUGAGUAAUAGAUUUCAAAGCAUGUCAGAUGGUAGACAAGGUAACCCCCCUGAUAAAGGGGGUCCUAGCCAUACACAAUGAAGUUGUUAGUCUGGAAUAUUAGAGGUGUAAAUAAGAGAUAUAAACAAAAG
rnacentral:lncRNA from 1 species